AUUGAACGCUGGCGGCAGGCUUAACACAUGCAAGUCGAACGAGUGGCGGACGGGUGAGUAAUGCUUGGGAAUCUGGCUUAUGGAGGGGGAUAACUACGGGAAACUGUAGCUAAUACCGCGUACCAUCGGAUGAGCCCAAGUGGGAUUAGGUAUUUGGUGAGGUAAAGGCUCACCAAGCCGACGAUGCCUAGCUGGUCUGAGAGUAGGACCAGCCACACUGGGACUGAGACACGUCCCUGAUGCCGACGGGAGGCAGCAGUGGGGAAUAUUGCGCAAUGGGGGAAACCUGAUGCAGCCAUCCCGCGUGUGCGAUGAAGGCCGUCGGGUUGUAAAGCACUUUUGGCAGGAAAGCGGUACCUGCAGAAUAAGCACCGGCUAACUACGUGCCAGCAGCCGCGGUAAUUC
rnacentral:rRNA from 1 species